UGAGCUUGAUCCUGGCUCAGGACGAACGCUGGCGGCGUGCCUAAUACAUGCAAGUCGAGCGCAGGAAGCRUGACGGAUCCCUUCGGGGUGACAUCAUGUGGAAUGAGCGGCGGACGGGUGAGUAACACGUGGGCAACCUACCUGUAAGACUGGGAUAACUCCGGGAAACCGGAGCUAAUACCGGAUGAUCCUUMUUCCUGCAUGGGAAGAAGGUAAAAGGCGGCAUUAUGCUGUCACUUACAGAUGGGCCCGCGGCGCAUUAGCUAGUUGGUGAGGUAACGGCUCACCAAGGCAACGAUGCGUAGCCGACCUGAGAGGGUGAUCGGCCACACUGGGACUGAGACACGGCCCAGACUCCUACGGGAGGCAGCAGUAGGGAAUCUUCCGCAAUGGACGAAAGUCUGACGGAGCAACGCCGCGUGAACGAAGAAGGUUUUCGGAUCGUAAAGUUCUGUUGUUAGGGAAGAACACGUACCGAUCGAAUAGGUCGGUACCUGAACGGU
rnacentral:rRNA from 1 species